rnacentral:rRNA from 1 species
UAGGGAAUCUUCGGCAAUGGACGAAAGUCUGACCGAGCAACGCCGCGUGAGUGAAGAAGGUUUUCGUAUCGUAAAACUCUGUUGUUAGAGAAGAACAAGGACGUUAGUAACUGAACGUCCCCUGACGGUAUCUAACCAGAAAGCCACGGCUAACUACGUGCCAGCAGCCGCGGUAAUACGUAGGUGGCAAGCGUUGUCCGGAUUUAUUGGGCGUAAAGCGAGCGCAGGCGGUUUCUUAAGUCUGAUGUGAAAGCCCCCGGCUCAACCGGGGAGGGUCAUUGGAAGCGGGGAGACUGGAGUGCAGAAGAGGAGAGGGGAAUUCCAUGUGUAGAGGUGAAAUGCGUAGAUAUAUGGAGGAACAGCAGUGGCGAAGGCGGCUGGCUGGACUGUAACUGACGCUGAGGCUCGAAAGCGUGGGGGGCAAAGAGG